AUUUCCUGGGGAUCUGGUGAAAAUGCGGACUCUGAUACUGGAGCCUGAGAUUCUGCAUUUCUUACAAGAUCCCUGGAGAUGCCGA
rnacentral:pre_miRNA from 1 species